rnacentral:rRNA from 1 species
AACGCUGGCGGCAUGCUUUACACAUGCAAGUCGAACGGCAGCACGAAAGAGCUUGCUCUUUUGGUGGCGAGUGGCGAACGGGUGAGUAAUGCAUCGGAACGUACCGAGUAAUGGGGGAUAACUAUCCGAAAGGAUAGCUAAUACCGCAUACGCUUUGAGAAGGAAAGUGGGGGCUCUUCGGACCUCACGUUAUUCGAGCGGCCGAUGUCUGAUUAACUAGUUGGUGGGGUAAAGGCCUACCAAGGCGACGAUCAGUAGCGGGUUGAGAGGAUGAUCCGCCACACUGGGACUGAGACACGGCCCAGACUCCUACGGGGAGGCAGCAGUGGGAGAAUUUUGGACAAUGGGCUGCAAGCCUGAUCCAAGCCAUGCCGCGUGUUCUAAAGAAGGCCCUUGCGGGUUGUAAAAGGGACUUUUUUUUAGGGAAAGAAAAAGGAAUA